GGGCGUUAUAACUCUGUAAAAUGCCUGUACAUACGUCUUAUCCUACUAUGUAAAUACGUGUUUGAAGAUCGCCAGCUUCUGCUUGACAGAAAACAUGGACAACACAGUUCACUUUGUGUAACUUACUGGCAUGUACAUAUAUAUUUUUGUUAGCCGGUAAAACAUAUUGGUGUUGUAGCUGAUGUAAAUAGUGGGUUGAAAGAUUGACAGUAAAUAUGACCUCCUUUUUGGCUUGAAUUUGUUUUCUUCACUC